rnacentral:rRNA from 1 species
CCAGACUCCUACGGGAGGCAGCAGUGGGGAAUAUUGCACAAUGGGCGAAAGCCUGAUGCAGCAACGCCGCGUGAAGGAAGACGGUUUUCGGAUUGUAAACUUCUGUUCUUAGUGAAGAAUAAUGACGGUAACUAAGGAGCAAGCCACGGCUAACUACGUGCCAGCAGCCGCGGUAAUACGGAGGAUGCGAGCGUUAUUCGGAUUUAUUGGGUUUAAAGGGUGCGUAGGCGGUCCGGAAAGUCAGCGGUAAAAGCCGGGGGCUCACCCCCGGCGAGCCGUUGAAACUGUCGGACUAGAGACGGCGAGAAGUACGCGGAAUGCGCGGUGUAGCGGUGAAAUGCAUAGAUAUCGCGCAGAACUCCGAUUGCGAAGGCAGCGUACCGGCGCCGGACUGACGCUGAGGCACGAAAGCGUGGGUAUCGAACAGGAUUAGAUACCCGAGUAAC